CAAGCAUUUAACAUGCAGUCGAACGGUGGCACGCAGGCCACCAUGGUGGCGAGUGGCGAACGGGUGAGUAAAGCAUCGGAACGUACCCUAUAGUGGGGGAUAACUAUCCGAAAGGAUAUGCUAAUACCGCAUAUUCUAUGAGUAGGAAAGCGGGGGAUCUUCGGACCUCGCGCUCUCGGAGCGGCCGAUGUCAGAUUAGGUAGUUGGUGGGGUAAAGGCCUACCAAGCCGACGAUCUGUAGCGGGUCUGAGAGGAUGAUCCGCCACACUGGGACUGAGACACGGCCCAGACUCCUACGGGAGGCAGCAGUGGGGAAUUUUGGACAAUGGGGGCAACCCUGAUCCAGCCAUGCCGCGUGAGUGAAGAAGGCCUUCGGGUUGUAAAGCUCUUUCGGCCGGAAAAGAAAUCGUGUGGGCUAAUACCCUGCAUGGAUGACGGGUCCCGGAAUAAGAAGCCCCGGCUAACUACGUGCCCAGCAGCCGCGGUAAUACGUAGGGUGCGAGCGUUAAUCGGGAAUUACUGGGCGUAAAGCGUGCGCAGGCGGUUAUUUUAAGACAGAGCGUGAAAUCCCCCGGGACAUGCUUAACCUGGGAACUGCGCUUGUGACUGGAUAGGCUGAGAGUGACGGCAGAGGGGGGAUGGAAUAUGCACGUGUAGCAGUGAACAUGCGUAGAGAUGUGGAGGAACACCGAUGGCGAAGGCAGCCGCCAUUGGGCCCGAUACUGACGCUCAUGCACGAAAAGCGUGGGGAGCAAACAGCGAUCAGAUACCGUGGUAGUCCACGUCCUAAACGAUGUCAACUGAGAUGUUGGGUGGUGUAAAGACCACUUUAGUCACGUAGCUCACACGCGUAGAAUGUUGACCGCGCUGGGGAGUACGGCCGCAAGCGUGGUAAAACUCAAAGGAAUUGACGGGGACCCGCACAAGCGGUGGAUGAUGUGGAUUAAUUUGAUGCAACGCGAAAAACCUUACCUACCCCUGACAUGUUCAGAAUCCUGAAGAGAUUUGGGAGUGCCCGAAAGGGAGCUGGAACACAACACAGGCAUGGCAGUCGUCAGCUCAUGUCGUGAGAUGAGAGGUUAAGUCCCGCAACGAGCGCAACCCAAGUCUUUAAUUUCCAUCAUUUAAAAGGGCACUUUAACGAGACUGCCGGUGACAAACCGGAGGAAGGUGGGGAUGACGUCAAGUCCUCAUGGCCCUUAUGGGUAGGGCUUCACACGUCAUACAAUGGUUGGUACAGAGGGUUGCCAAGCCGCGAGGGGGAGCCAAUCCCAGAAAGCCGAUCGUAGUCCGGAUUGUAGUCUGCAACUCGCCUGCAUGAAGUCGGAAUCGCUAGUAAUCGCGGAUCAGCAUGUCGCGGUGAAUACGUUCCCGGGUCUUGUACACACCGCCCGUCACACC
rnacentral:rRNA from 1 species